GAUGAACGCUAGCGGCAGGCCUAACACAUGCAAGUCGAGGGGCAUCGCGGUGCAGCAAUGCACUGGCGGCGACCGGCGUACGGGUGCGUAACGCGUAUGCAACCUGCCCCGCACCGGGGGAUAGCCCGCCGAAAGGCGGAUUAAUACCCCAUGGUCCCGGGGGCCCGCAUGGGCAUCCGGGUAAAGCCUUGGCGGUGCGGGAUGGGCAUGCGUGCCAUUAGCUGGCUGGUGGGGUAACGGCCCACCAGGGCAACGAUGGCUAGGGGGUCUGAGAGGAUGGUCCCCCACACUGGUACUGAGACACGGACCAGACUCCUACGGGAGGCAGCAGUGAGGAAUAUUGGUCAAUGGGCGGAAGCCUGAACCAGCCAUGCCGCGUGCAGGAUGACGGCCCUACGGGUUGUAAACUGCUUUUCCCCGGGGCGAAUAACCCCCUCGCGAGGGGGAUGCCGGUACCGGGGAAUAAGGAUCGGCUAACUCCGUG
rnacentral:rRNA from 1 species